GUCUCCCACCGCCGGGCCUCGCUUUCUCUAUUUGUAAGAGGAGAGGGAAGGCCAGACUGCACAUUCCGUAAGCGUAUCGUGUGUACCCACUGUGUGCCAAGCCUCAGCUAUCCACGGAUAGUGGGGCCCCCGGCAUGCCCCACCCACACGGCAGCUUGAACACCGUCCAACCCUGAAGCAAGGCCUCGACAAGGACUGGCAGAAAACCAUCCGGCAGUUUCUAUGAAGGGGAGGGGCCUGGAAAGCGAGCUCAAGCCCAUUUUACAGCUGGAGAGGGGCCCGUGCAGGCCAAGUGACUCAAGGGGGUUGGGGGAUUCCACCUGCUCCCAGCACGUCUCCAACCUUGAAGGUCCAGGUGCUGGGGUUGGGGCCCAGGGGACAGGGGACCACGUUAAACACAGCCCUUGAGGAUGCAAUCCACAAACUCCAGACUGUGGGAAUCUCGACGGGACAAACCACCCAGUCUCUUCAACAAAUGCGUUUCGGGGGAAAAAAUAAUGGGAAAACCACAGAUUAAAAGAAAGGUGAGAGACAUCACCAAAUGCAACACGUGGGUUUUGUUUAGUAGGGCAACUGUUAUAGAAAAAAACAAAACCAAAACCUAAGGGACCACUGAGAUUACGU